UCAGUCCUUGCAGAGGACCUAAUAUGCCAUCCCUGGAAUAGCAGCAAUCUCUGCCCUCUGAAAUGAUAUUCUCUUUCAGUGUUACCCCCUCUCUAUCUCUUUCUCACCUAUUUCCCUAACAAGACUUUAUACCUCUCUGUUGGGAUUUCUCUACUAGAAACUUUACUUCUCUAUCAGGACCUAGCCAUCAAAGAAUUCAGCCUUUCUAUUCAUGCAUAGCAAAGGCUGACUUCCCAAUGCCAAUAAUAAAUUUCUUUUUACCAGUCCAGCUUUUUGGGUUUGUAAAUUGGUUUACUAAGGACCUCUGUGCCACCAGAAGGGGGUUCCCACAACUCCUUGCCAUGCACCAAAUCUAAGGGGAUUUAGGGGAGCCUUACCUCUUUAUUUGGUUCCUUGAACCCUGAACCUGCCACUAACCUCAUCAUCUAACUCCCUGUUCACCAGGAACCCUAAUCUCAUCAUUUGGUUCCCUAACCGGGAACCCUGAAAUCUAGACCUCAUUAAAACUAGGUAAAGAUUUCUCAAAAAGUCUAUUGCGAUGGAAUGGGUCAAAUCCUAAAUUUCAAGAAGUUACAUAAUCCCUAUUCUCAGAGGUUUGUAGGGCAGUAAAAGUCAGAAGUUAGGUCUAAGCUUCAGGAAGUAGACAGUAUUGCUGCCCAUUGGUCAAUGGUUAGUUCCUUUUCAGUCCAUCCAAUGAACCCAAGUCUUUUGCUAUUUAACCAAUUCAUUAUUUCAGGCUCAGGAAGCCAGGCACACCAUGCUGGGAAAUGGGAGCUGAAAGGCUCUGUGUCUGCUCAGCUGGUGUGUUUGGACCUCUCCUUGCAAGAACUGAAUAAAUGCUUCCAUUUGUAUCUGAAGAUACCUCUGAGUAGUCAUUUGGGAUGAGAAAAUUGAAGAACAGAGAUUGGUUAAAUGACUUGCCCAAAGUCACCCAGAGAGGCAGUGGUCAAAGGCAAAACAGACUUUUGAGAAGGGACAGGAUGAAAAGAGAGAGAAGAAGAAGAAGAAAUAGAAGAAAAUGAAAUGGAGGUAAAUACACAGUAAUCACAACUGUGGAUGUGAAUGGGAUGAGCUAAAUAAAUGGAAUAUAAAUCAUAAAACAGAAGUGGAUAACAGAAAGGAUUAAAAAACAGAAUCCAACAAUAUGUUGUUUACAGGAGACACAUAAAGCAGAAAGAUACACAGAGAUAAAAAUAAAGAACUGGAACAGAAUCUGAUAUGCUUCAGCUAAAGUUAAAAAAAAAAGCAGGGAUAGCAGCUAUGAUCUCAGACAAAGCAAAAGCAAAAAUUAAUACAUUCUGGAGAACAAUUUGGAAUUAGAUGGCUAUAAGACUAUAUAUACUCUUUGAUCCAGCAAUAUCCCUACUAGAGCUGUAUCCCAAAGAAAUCAAAGAUAAACCAAAAGGAAUUACACAUACAAAAAUAUUGAUAGCAGCUUUUUGUGGUGACAAAAAAAAAAGGAAGUUGAGGGGAAACUCACGGAAUGGAGAAUUGCUGAAUAAGUGGUAACAUGUGAUUGUGGUGGAGUACAAUUGUGCUACAAGAAAUGAUGAGUGAGUUGGCUUCAGAAAAACAUGAUCAGCUGAUGCAAAGUGAAGUGAAAAGACCUGAUAGAUCAUUGUGCACAGUAAAAGCAAUUUUGUAAUGAUCAACUGUGAAAGACUUGAAUAUUUGAUCAAUAAAAUGAUCUAAGAUGAAUCCAAAGGAUUUAUGAGGAAAAAUGCUAUCUACCUCCAUGGAAGAACUGAUGUGAAAUCUAAGUAUAAAUUGAAGUAUAAUUCUCCCUUUAUUUUCUUUUGCUUUUAUUCACAAAAAGGAUUCUACAGAGAUGAAAUGGGUCAGUUGUUAUUGAUGUCUCUUUUAUAUCCUAUGGGGGCAGUAUUAACACCCAUUAUUUCCCUAAUUAUUCAGCAUCAUUAAUAUAUCUGAGAAGAUGUUUCAAUGAUUUUAAAAUUACAUCAUCUCCCACAUAGAUCUCUGUGUAUAUUUGAUCUGGCCCAGUUAUUGUUCUCAAUUUUAUUUUCUUUAAUGCCAUUUCUAUUUCGUCAUGAAACACACUGGAGAUUGUGUUUUAUAGAUAGUAUUAUUAUUGUUGAUUCUUAUCCCCAUUUUAUAAAAGAGGAUACUGUGGCUUAGAGUUGCCUGUUGACACAUAUCCAGUAAGAGUCAAGAGACAUCAUUUGAACCCAUCUCUUUCUUAACUCCAGGUCCAGUGUUCUAUUACACUAGAUUGCUUCUCAGACUGGGCAGCCUGUCAAUUCCUUU